GCUUCCCCCGCGGCCGCGACUCAGGCGGGCGGGGGGAGUCGGGCCUGUCCCCCCUUCAGCGGGUUUUACAUCACUUCAGCAGCGGCGUUCCGACGUAACGUGUCCGCUUUGGAGUACAUGAGCCAAAAGUGGGUGACAGGCUGGUUUCAACCACGGCCAAACACGUGGUGCGUCACCGCCAUGGUGGGAUUGCACUGUGUGCGUAAUUCCAGCCUGUGAAGUGGGGAACGUCCCCUAUGGACACUGCGCCAGGGCCAUGCUGGGCAAUGUUUGUGGAUGCCUUGGGAAGGAUGAUGGGCAUGACUGCCCAGAUGCCUUCCAAAUCCCUAAAAACACACGGACUGUUGCAUGCAGGGAUGGUUAUGGGUCCUUCCCGUGCGUGCUGGGCUGUGGGAGAUGAGAAGUGAAGGAUGAGCUGUGCAUUCACGGCAGCAGAGCACAGGAAAAGGUUUUGCUGUCCCGUGGAACACCUCCAGCAGCACAACCCAAAAUCCCAUUGAUAGCCACUGAUGCUCUGGUAUGGUGACCAAGGCUUCACCUGAAACACGACCAGACCAGCUGCCUCCCCUGGCACGGCUUCCUGCACCGGUAAGGAUGUAAAUGCCACCUGCCUUGUCCCCUUCAGUGUCACAGCCUCACGGGCAUGGCACAGUACAGACAGUCUCUGCCUUUACUUUGCUGCUCUCAUGACUUCACUGGGCUUCCACUCCCUGCCCAAGGGUGUUUCGAGGGGCUUUGGGGGUGUCUGGCUGUGGGGAGCGUGAGCAGCAGCAGGCUGGAGGGAGGAGGCCAUGCAGGAGGCUCUGGCAGUGCGUGGCCAUGGCUGUGGCAGCGGCUGUGGGGUGCCUGUGCAUCCCUGUGGGUGGAAAGGGGGCUGGCUGGGCAGCUGAGAGAGGCUCAGGCCGGGGAAGAGGAAGGCACAUGCCCGGAGACGCUCUCCAGCAGUGCCAGCAAGGAAGCAAGCACCAUCUGGUGCCUGUGCACCCCUGUGAAGGUGGAGGGAGGGGGUGGCCAGGGCCUCUGCUCUGCCACGGACAUUCCUCUCCCUUCCUUUGUGCUGCAGAAGUCUGCGCUUCCUCCCUUCCCGGCGCUGCUGCGGCUCAAUCGCUACCAGAUGUGGGUCCCAUGCAUUUUUCAUUAGCCCGGCAGCUCUGGGCGCUGCCUCGGCAGCCUGUCGGGCUGGCGGCACAAAUGCUGGAACUCGGGGCUCCCGAGCAGGGAUCAGAGCUGGGCUGGGCUCCGCCAGGCACCUGGCCGUGCUUUGCACUCGGGGCAUUGCUGGGUCAGGAUGCUGAUGGGGAUGCAGGGCGAGCUGUCUGUGGGGAUGGAGCUGGUCCUCUGCCGGGACCUGCACAAGUGCCAUGGGGGCAGAGGGACAUGGGCUUUGCGUUGGAGGAAGGAGCUCAGUGAGCUGGACUGCAGCUGGGUCAGCCUUUGGGGACAAUCUGCAGCCCUUGACUGGGUCUGGGAAUGUAGGGGAGGUGACUGGGUGGCACACACUGGGACUGGCGCUGGUGAGCACAGUGACCUGUGUGUCCCAUGCUCUGUAUGUUCAGGCAGGAAGUACAUCAAGAUAGGUUGGGAUGUGCAGGAGGCUCCUGGGGGGUGGGCUCAGGCUGAGGUGGGGUAGUCCCUGACCAGCCAACAGUGUUUGCAGUGGUGCCACAAGCAGUUCAGGUGACACAGCAUGGGUGGAGGAAACACAGGUCUUUCCUGAGCUCCCUAGAACAUGCCAGCACCAAGGACGAAACCAUGGCUGCUGGACACAGGGACUUGAGAGCAGAAACAGCCCUGCAGUUGGGUUGUGAUGCCCAAAGAGAGUCUUAACUAAGCCUGUAUUGAACUAUGAAGCGACAGAUAGACCUGAGAAAGCUCCUCUGUCCUUCCUCACCCUGUCACCCCCACCAUGGGGUGAAAGAGUGGCUGGAGAAGAGCCCAAUGGGACUCUUCCUGCUGGGCAGAAUGAGGCCACAUUUGGGUGCUCGUGGCCAUGGAACCUCUGCACUGGGAGAGUGAGAUGUUCCUUGACUUAGCAUAGAAGAAUCUGUGGCUGAUCUUGUCUUGCUGCUGCUUCUUGAGCCCCUAAAUUGGCUGCGGGGCUUUUCUCAUGCUGCUGGUGCAGAGGAGGCUGGGUGGAAGCAGGGGGACAAGAAAUACAAGAGGAGUGGAGUGUCUGUGGAGCCUGGUGCAUGGUAAUAAUCCCCAAGAACCCUGAACACACACCUUCCUGCAGGAGAUGUCUGUCCAAGCCUGGAGUCCCUGGGAGAGCUGCCACAUCACCAUGGCUCUGAGUCACCACUCCAGAGCCAGGAGUGCCCCCCCCCAAUCUUUGAUGAGUUUGGUGUUACUGGGUAGCCAGCUGUCACUGAAAGAGGCCAAUGCACUGCCAGUUCUGCAUCAAACAUAACUUUACUGCCUUUGCUGUGGAGUCAGGGACAGGUCAGCAUCAUCUGGUCCUUGGGCUGAGAGCUGGCGAGCAUCCCAACAGCAGCUCUGCUGUCCAUGGCAUCAGUAUGGAGCGAGAUGGCCAGGGCCAGUGACAGGACUGCAGCUUAGCCCAAGCCACGGAGCCUGCAGUUAGUCCCUGGCCAGGAGCCAGGGCUGGAGCCAGGGCUGGAGCCAGGGUUUUCCUGAAGCAGCAACCCCCCUGCAGGGCCAGGUCUGGGGGGCUCCUCUCCUCAAGGCUGGAUCUGUCUCUCCUCAGCCAGCUUGGCUUGGAUGCUUUCCUCAAGUCUCCUCCAACUCCUCUUUGAACCCUCUAAGAGCUCCACCAGCCCUCUGGGGUAGGGGCUCCAGCAGCAGCCCUCUGCCUCCACCCUGCACUGGCUGCGUGGUUACCCACCGCACUGGCUUUUCCACCUAUCCCCAGCCUUGCCCCCUCCUUUUUCAGACCAUUUUAACAUUUUGUGGGCCCUCACCUCAUCCCCUGGGCAAGGGGAGGGCAUGGCUGGGACUGCCAGAACCUCAGCCUCAGGCUCACCGGAUUUAUUCCAAUUUAAACACUGCAGAGUAAAAGUGCUUCCCCUGCUCUGGCCUCUGGAGCUGAAUAUCUGAACGGGAAUUUCACCCCUGAGCUGCAGCUAAAAUAAGACCUGGAUCGAGGUAGUCACUGGCUCUUGGUGCUGCCCGGUGAAGCCUACACGCUCUCCUGCUGGCUGGCUGCUGGUGUAGCUAGGAGACCAAGGUGUACUGGGCUGGAAGGGCAGUGUACAUCAUUGGAAACGUGUUGGCAAACAUGUCCGGGCUUUGGUUGUCUGGGCCAAGCUCCAAGGGGACUCAGAGGAGAAGCCAUAUGUCCUGUGUGCACAUCAUUCUUGGGAUGAGACAUGGAUUCUCAGCCAGGUCAAAUUCAUGUGGGUUGUGGCUCAGCAGCUCAGGAGCAUCUCAUGUCUUUGCCACCUGCAGAGAGAAGGGUGUCGGGUCUGUUUGAGGUGAGGUGACUGGUCUGUUUCACCCCAUGGACAACACCCUGCCUGGGGAGCCUGGGCAAGGGGCAGGAGCUGCUUCCCCUGGAGAGGCUCCUGGCUGGCCGGUGCAGGUGCUCCCAGGUCAUUGCACAGGGCUUCGUAAGCAAGAAUGACCUCAGAUGAGACUGAAAUGUGUGGGCUUGGCUGGGAGUUGUGUGCAGGGGCCAUAGGGCUGCAAGGGGUGAGUGCAAAGCAUGUACAGGGUGCAAGUGUCACAGCAGGCUGCAGGGGACACAAAGGAUGCAGCUCACAUAAGGAAUUCAGUGAGCUGAGAAGGAUGCAAGGGAUGUAAUGGAUGCAAAAGAUGCUUAAAGGGCUGCAGCAGGCUAUUAAUAAUGCAAGGCAUGCAAGGAAGCUGCAAGGGAUUAAGAGAGUGCAACGGGAUGUAAGAGUUGCAGUGGGAUGUAAAGGAUACAAGGGAUGCAAGAGAUAUAAAGGAUAUGACUGUAUGCAGGGGUUGCAGCAGCCUGGAGCCAAAGCCUUCUAUCCCUUGGCUGGGGCUGACCAGUUGGCAUCCGUGUCUCUCUGUGUCUGCAGCCUGACUUUGGGCAGAGGCAUGGGUCCUGGGGUCCCCCUUGCUGCGCCCCUACAGUCAUCAACUGAGCAGGGGACAGCUGCAGGCUGCCCUUCCUUCCCCUUCCCCUCAAGAUAUUUUCGGGGUCUCCAAGCCUCUCAGGGGGAGAAAACACCAGUCCCAAGGAGGUGGCUGCAGCUUCUCUGCUGUAGACAAGGGGCCCAUUCAGCCCCACGCCCCGAUCCUCGUCCUGCAUCCUGCGCAGCUCCCGGCAACAGCCAGGGCCGAUCAUGUGCCUCCUAAUGAAAUCCAGAUCCAUGACAUUGAGCACUCAUUUGUGCUCCCACACAGACUAAACACGGCAGGCAUGAUGCGGCCGGGAGCACAGGCUGGGGAUGAAUUAGGUACCCGGAGCCUCUGCCUGACUUCCACCUGAUUAUUCCUCCUCUCCUGCUCAAAAUCCUCGGACAGAGUGCCCUCGUGCUUUCCCUGCAAAAAUAUGGAUUUUUCCCAAAUGAUGCUUGCAGAGGCUGAAAUAAAGGCUCAGGCUCUUGGAUUUGCUCA